UACAGAAAAUGCGAGCGUUAAUCGGAAUUACUAAACGUAAAGCGCGCGUAGACGGCUUUGCAAGUCGGGUGUGAAAUCCCCAGGCUCAACCUGGGAACUGCAUUCGAGACUGCAUUGCUAGAGUAUGGGAGAGGGAAGUGGAAUUUCCGGUGUAGCGGUGAAAUGCGUAGAUAUCGGAAGGAACAUCAGUGGCGAAAGCGACUUCGUGACCAAUACUGACGCUCAUGUGCGAAAGCGUGGGGAGCAACAGG
rnacentral:rRNA from 1 species